CAGUUGUCCGCGGAAGGACAUU
rnacentral:rRNA from 1 species